rnacentral:misc_RNA from 1 species
UCCGACUUAACGUCGGCAGUCUCCUUAGAGUGCCCAACUGAAUGCUGGCAACUAAGGACAAGGGUUGCGCUCGUUGCGGGACUUAACCCAACAUCUCACGACACGAGCUGACGACAGCCAUGCAGCACCUGUCUCUCUGUGUAUUGCUACAAAGCCCUAUCUCUAGGGAUGUCAGAGGAUGUCAAACCCAGGUAAGGUUCUUCGCGUUGCUUCGAAUUGAACCACAUGCUCCACCGCUUGUGCGGGCCCCCGUCAAUUUCUUUGAGUUUUAAUCUUGCGACCGUACUUCCCAGGCGGAGUACUUAAUGCGUUAGCGACGGUACGGAAGGGGUCAAAACCUCCCACACCUAGUACUCAUCGUUUACAGCGUGGACUAC